UGGCCACCUCUUCCUGAUCAUUUCUAUAGUUUGUUACUAGAGAAGUUUCUCGGCCUCUGUAGAGUACUGGAAACCACAGGGGGAGGCUUAGCAUUCUCUCCUGAGGGUGAGGCUGGCUUUUGGUGUUGCUUUGCUGCAAGUACAACUUGCCAUUUAUAAUCCUUCCUGCUCUCCUUCAGAGGAACUGGAGGGAGAGGACACAGUCUGGGUGGC